GUUGGGUUAUUGCUAAACUCUCUUUUUGAAUCUUGAUAAAGGCUUCCUUUCCUUCUUGGUGAAAGUCUUGGAAGAUGUUAUACUUGGUGAUCAAGUUCCUUAAUUGAUCAUGUGGUGGAAAAGGAUUUUUCACUCUUCAGCUGGAGGACAACUUCCUUGCUGUCCCUAGAAGGCUGUAGGCUGAUUUCUCUUGGCAUGGAGUGGGGUGUGGAAUCGAGAUAGGUGUGGAGAGGAUCCUCAAAGAUUUGUGGAGUUAAUGGAACUUGUUUCUUUACUCCCUUUAGCUCUCUUAGGAAAAUUUCUUUUGUAAAGUAGAUAUAUCUUCUCUACUUGUUCCAACACCAAAAUCCAUGUAAUCCUUUUCAUGAAAGGUAGUUCUCCUAUAUUGUAAGGUAUACCUCCAACCUUUCUUCUUUUGAAUAAAUUCCAAUAAACCCUUGUACACCUAUUUAUAUGAAAUUCUUGGCAUUCUCUUU